rnacentral:lncRNA from 14 species
CCAGAAAUGACUCUCUUCUGGCUCAUUAACUCCCGAAAAGACUUUAGCCAGGACCAGCUUGCUGAAAACAUCCUCAAAACCCAAUGACACAGGGACAAGAAGGUGGCUGGUUAGGUAUAACUACUUAGCUACCUUCCUAACCAUUGUCCACCCUUAUUAAUGGUUAAACUCUUGCUGUGUCAUUGCUUGCUGUUCUUGGCCAACUCAAACUCUUUCAGGUGGGACAGAGGGUGAAGAAUGGAAGGAAAACAACAUCAAAGACCUGUUUGUGUUCCUCAAGACACCCAUGUAAACAGCACCUCAGGUUACCUGCAGGUUGGUUCACAGCACAGCAUCCUGGGAAGUUGGGCCAAUACAAGUGCUUUUCCAUGCAAAGACAUCCCAUAUGGUUGUUUGUCACCACAUCCAACGUACUCAAUGUCAGUGUGCAGAGAUCUCAUCUCCAAGCCAUGCUGGCUUAGCAGCUGGAAGCCAGCACCUUUCUUCCACCAGAUACCAUCCAACCUUGAAUCCCAUCAUCCAGAUAUGCAGAACAGUGGCCCAAAGCAAAGCUCUUCCUUCACUGAUACUUCUAUCCAGAUGAUGGGUUAGUUUAGAUGGUAAAGAACUUUUCUAACAUUACCAAUGUGAAGAAAUAAAGAGCUAUCAAACCAAA